UACAGAGGUGGCGAGCGUUAUUCGGAAUUAUUGGGCGUAAAGGGCGCGUAGGCGGCUUGACAAGUCCCGGGUGAAAUCCCUCGGCUCAACCGAGGAACUGCCUUGGAAACUGUCUGGCUUGAGGCCGGGAGAGGGUAGUGGAAUUCCCAGUGUAGCGGUGAAAUGCGUAGAUACUGGGAGGAACACCGGUGGCGAAGGCGGCUACCUGGACCGGUUCUGACGCUGAGGCGCGAAAGCCAGGGGAGCAAACGGG
rnacentral:rRNA from 1 species